rnacentral:rRNA from 10 species
GCCUAUGGCCAUGCCACCCUGAACGUGCCCAAUCUCAUCUGAUCUCGGAAGUGAAGCAGGGUCAGUCCUGGUUAGUACUUGGACGGAAAAUCUCACAUUCUGGCAUUCUAAGGG